AACACCGACUUCACCGCCUCCUGGUGCUGCUUGGCUUGCUGUGUUCCAGUUCCCAGCAGGCCCAGCGCCGGCUCCGUACGCACGCGCACUGCUACUUUCCUGACGCUGCUGCGCUUGAGCGCCAUGGCGAAGAAGCUGGCGGCGGAUGAUCCGAAUCUGAUCGCUAUGAUCGUCGACCACCUCAAGAGCCGCGGCCUUUUCGAUGAGUUCCGCAGAGACUGUCUGGCUGAUGUUGACACCAAGCCAGCCUAUCAGAAUCUCAGACAAAGAGUUGAUAAUUUUGUGUCCAAUCACUUGGCUAAUCACGAGUGGAAUCCAAGCCUUAACAAAAAUCAGCUGCGUAAUGAACUUCGACAGAGGGUCUGUAAUUUCUCUUUUCGUGCUCAUGAUUGGGGAGCUGAUUGGAUCAGGUUGUGGAAGGGCAGGCUGUGGUCGAAAGGCACGCUUUACCUAUCAGGCAUGUUGGAAUCAGGCGUUGACAGAAUUAUCUCUCAGGUUGUCGAUCCAAAGCUGUAUCACAUUUUCAAACCACAGAUAGAGAAGGCAGUCCAUGAGUUUAUGGCUACAGAAAUGAAAGAGGACGUUGUGCCAAAUCCACCUCCAGAGCCUGAAAAACAAGAGCUCUCUGCUUCAGCUUCAGGUACACCCUGAGGUAGCACUUCAAAUGCCCUAGCACCAGCAUAAUGUUUUCUGUCCUGAGCAGCAGCAUCUUCAACUGUAGUUGCACGAUCAGUUAAGAAUAAAUUUCAUUCUGAGGCAAAGUCCUUUUCUAGGAUAAACCAAGUUGGAUGCUGUCAACUGUUUACAGCAGCAUUGCUGCAUCAUUAUGUUAAAUAGAGGAAGUCAUGGGAAAUGGACACUGAAGAAAACAUGAAAGUUGUUGGAUCGUAAUUGCAGACAGAAUUUGGGGACUUCGGGAACCAAUGUGAACAGACGCACUGAUGCUUUGGGCAACAUUUCAAACUUUGAAGAAAUAUUAAGUGAUUAGAAUAAAUGAGGAAAAUGUUAUAUUAUAAAUGGACAAAUUGUGACUUCCAUUGAAGAAGAACGUGUACUGAGGAGAUGAAGUUUUUAAUUUCCAAUUUCCUAUUUCAUCCAAGAUAGCCUACCUAUCCAAAAGGUUUGAUGUCCAAAUGCUGUAUUUUAAGAAGGUGACUUCAUUGAUCACCAAAUUCUGGAAAAAAAAACUUUACAAUUCCCUCCUCUGAAAUGUAUGUUCACCAUUUGUGACAGCUGCACUAUAACAAUGUAAAAAUGCAUCAUGUUUAAAUAAAUAUGCCAAUUGUUUGGCUUCAAAUUAA